GCCCCCGUAGCUCAGUGGUCAGAGCGCGGACAGCGUUGAUAUUUCCCAGCGUUGAGACCUAGCGAAUUUAGCGAAGUCUAUUACGAAAAUCAGCGCAUCCGAGGACAGCGGUUCGAAUCCGCUCGGGGGCA